rnacentral:rRNA from 1 species
UACGUAGGGGGCUAGCGUUGUCCGGAAUCAUUGGGCGUAAAGAGCGUGUAGGCGGCCCGGUAAGUCCGCUGUGAAAGUCGGGGGCUCAACCCUCGAAUGCCGGUGGAUACUGUCGGGCUAGAGUGCGGAAGAGGCGAGUGGAAUUCCUGGUGUAGCGAUGAAAUGCGCAGAUAUCAGGAGGAACACCGAUUGCGAAGGCAGCUCGCUGGGACGUAACUGACGCUGAGACGCGAAAGCGUGGGGAGCAAACAGG